rnacentral:rRNA from 1 species
AGUGAACGCUGGCGGUAGGCCUAACACAUGCAAGUCGAUCGGCAGCACAGUAAGAGCUUGCUCUUACGGGUGGCGAGUGGCGGACGGGUGAGGAAUACAUCGGAAUCUACUUUUUCGUGGGGGAUAACAUAGGGAAACUUACGCUAAUACCGCAUACGACCUACGGGUGAAAGCAGGGGAUCUUCGGACCUUGCGCGAUUGAAUGAGCCGAUGUCGGAUUAGCUAGUUGGCGGGGUAAAGGCCCACCAAGGCGACGAUCCGUAGCUGGUCUGAGAGGAUGAUCAGCCACACUGGAACUGAGACACGGUCCAGACUCCUACGGGAGGCAGCAGUGGGGAAUAUUGGACAAUGGGCGCAAGCCUGAUCCAGCCAUACCGCGUGGGUGAAGAAGGCCUUCGGGUUGUAAAGCCCUUUUGUUGGGAAAGAAAAGCAGCAGGUUAAUACCCCGCUGUUCUGACGGUACCCAAAGAAUAAGCACCGGCUAACUUCGUG